rnacentral:rRNA from 1 species
CCCUUAGAUGUUCUGGGCCGCACGCGCGCUACACUGAUGAAUGCAACGAGCUCUACCCUUGACCGAAAGGCCCGGGUAAACUUGUGAAACUUCAUCGUGAUGGGGAUAGAUUAUUGCAAUUAUUAAUCUUCAACGAGGAAUUCCUAGUAAGCGCGAGUCAUCAGCUCGCGUUGAUUACGUCCCUGCCCUUUGUACACACCGCCCGUCGCUCCUACCGAUUGAAUGGUCCGGUGAAAUCUUCGGAUUGCUGACCAAGAUCCAGUAAUGGAGCUUGGUUGCGAGAAGUUGAUUAAACCUUAUUAUUUAGAGGAAGGAGAAGUCGUAACA